rnacentral:rRNA from 1 species
UACGGAGGAUCCGAGCGUUAUCCGGAUUUAUUGGGUUUAAAGGGAGCGUAGGCGGGUUGUUAAGUCAGUUGUGAAAGUUUGCGGCUCAACCGUAAAAUUGCAGUUGAUACUGGCAUCCUUGAGUACAGUAGAGGUAGGCGGAAUUCGUGGUGUAGCGGUGAAAUGCUUAGAUAUCACGAAGAACUCCGAUUGCGAAGGCAGCUUACCAAGCUACUUCUGACGUUGAGGCACGAAAGCGUGGGGAGCAAACAGG